rnacentral:rRNA from 1 species
UAGUAAUCGCGGAUCAGCAUGCCGCGGUGAAUACGUUCCCGGGGAUUGUACACACCGCCCGUCACACCAUGAGAGUCGGGAACACCCAAAGUCCGUAGUCUAACCGCAAGGAGGACGCGGCCUAAGGUGGGUUCGAUAAUUGGGGUGAAGUCGUAACAAGGUACC